GUGUCAGCAGCCGCGGUAAUACGUAGGGUGCGAGCGUUAAUCGGAAUUACUGGGCGUAAAGCGUGCGCAGGCGGUCCGCAAAGUCUGAUGUGAAAGCCCCGGGCUCAACCUGGGAACUGCAUUGGAAACUAACGGGCUCGAGUGUGGCAGAGGGGGGUGGAAUUCCACGUGUAGCAGUGAAAUGCGUAGAGAUGUGGAGGAACACCGAUGGCGAAGGCAGCCCCCUGGGCUAACACUGACGCUCAGGCACGAAAGCGUGGGGAGCAAACAGGAUUAGAUACCCCGGUAGUCC
rnacentral:rRNA from 1 species